rnacentral:rRNA from 1 species
UACGUAGGGGUCUAGCGUUGUCCGGAAUCAUUGGGCGUAAAGCGCGUGUAGGCGGUCCGGUAAGUCCGCUGUGAAAGUCGGGGGCUCAACCCUCGAAUGCCGGUGGAUACUGUCGGGCUAGAGUGCGGAAGAGGCGAGUGGAAUUCCUGGUGUAGCGGUGAAAUGCGCAGAUAUCAGGAGGAACACCAAUUGCGAAGGCAGCUCGCUGGGACGUUACUGACGCUGAGACGCGAAAGCGUGGGGAGCAAACAGG